AGGAGUCGCUCUGGAGAGCCCCCCCCUCAGGCGUGGGGGACCCCAGUCAUCCCAGGCCGGGGCAACCCAGGAAUGGACAGGAAGACUUCUGGAUCCUCACCCCCCACCGGCGCUGUCAGCAUCUUCAGCUGCUCCAUAGCUCUGUGUAAAAAGACUGGAAGGAAACACUCCGGGAGAGGUUCCCUCUGGAAGCUUCAGGAGCCGGUUGUGGCUCUGCCGGAUGGAGCUGCCCAGCUUCCCCAGGGCAGCUGCCUCCUCUUUCUCCACGAAAUCCAAGACCUUCAUCUGCAGCUGUGUGACCUCCUGGAUGAUCUCUGAGAAGCAGGCGUUCACCUCAUCUCGUGUUGUCUGGAUCAUUUUCUUGGGAGCCCAAUGCAGGGCACUGGGGAAGCCUGGACCUGGCGUGGGCCAACCUUACCGAGAGAAAGGCCACCUGCCCGCGGUGCUUCUGGCUGUCAGAAGUGAUGAUCAACAUCUGGUUCUCCACGUUGGCCUGGACCUUCCGAACCUCGACCUGGGCCCUAGUUGCUGGAACAAAUCCUGGACAAGAGGGUGGAUGAGCAGAAAGUUACAUAGUGACAAAGGAAAGGAGCCACUUCCUUGACCCUUCGGAAGAAAAGACCACCCACAAUUUUGCUCCCUGAUGUCACAAUUCAAGCGUGAUCAGCCCCAGUGUUCUGCCUGUGAUGUCAGCAGGGUAAAAGUUGUGCCCCUGGACAUGCCACGGUGCUGAUGCAGUCUGCCCUUCCACCAGCAAUUCUUUACUCCAGAGCCUUCAUCCCAGGCGGGAGAGUUGCGGCUGCACCUGGGGCCACUUGCAGUGGACGUCAGGGACUCACCAUACCAACCACAGAAGGAAAAUGGCAACUAAAUGACAGUAGAUUCUUGGGCAACUUGUUUAAUCUCUCUGGACCACAGCUCUUCUCUGAGCAUCAACAGAGUUGUUGUAGGAGAUGAUGUUUUAAGGCCCCUUCUUGGCCUAAAGUUGAGUGAUCCCAACAUUAUCUCAUUGGUGAUCCUAAAUAUUGUUGCUUCCACUCUGGUUCUGAUUCUCAGAAGAAAAAAAGGGAUGCAACCAUCACCACUAUCCAUAUCCAAAACUGUUUCAUCACCCCUAACAGAAACUUUAUAACCAUUAAGCAAUAAUUCCUCAUUUGCCUCUCCCUUGAGCCCCUGGUAACCUCUAAUCUAUUUUCUGUCACUAUGAAUUUGCCUAUUUUAGAUAUUUCAUAAGACUGAAAUUAUACAUUUGUCCUUUUGAGUCUGGCUUAUUUCACUUAGAUAAUGUUUUCAAGGUUUAUCCAUGUUAUGGCAUGUAUCCAAAUUUCAUUCGUGUUUGUGGCUGGAUCAUAUUCCACUAUAUACCACAUUUUUUUUAUCCUUUUAUCUGCUGAUGGACACUUGGGUUUCUUCUACCUUUUGGCUAGUGUGAAUAAUGCUGCUAUGAAAUAGGUGUACAAGUAUCUAUUUGAGUCCCUGCUUUCUUUUGGGUAUAUACCUAAGAGAAUCACUUACAAUCCUUAGAGAGACUGUAGGCUCUGUAGUUGUGUCUCCUUUUAACAUUCCAGAUGUCAUUUGUAUUGUCUUUUUCUGCGAUGAGUCCCAUUAGGAGUUUAUCCAUUUUGUCCAUCUUUUUAAAGAAUCAGCUUUUGGUUUGAUGGUUCUGUUGUAUGUUUGUUUUCUAUGUAAUUGAUUUCUGCUCUGCUCUAUAUUAUUUCCUUCCUUUUACUUUCUUUGGGUUGAAUUUGCUGUUGUAAGUUCCUGAGAUGGACAUAAUGAUUUUUAGCCUUUCUUACCUGUUUUUUUUUUUUUUUUUAAAGAUUGGCAC